ACUUAAAUUGAAGAGUUUGAUCAUGGCUCAGAUUGAACGCUGGCGGCAGGCCUAACACAUGCAAGUCGAGCGGUAGCACAGAGAGCUUGCUCUCGGGUGACGAGCGGCGGACGGGUGAGUAAUGUCUGGGAAACUGCCUGAUGGAGGGGGAUAACUACUGGAAACGGUAGCUAAUACCGCAUAAUGUCGCAAGACCAAAGUGGGGGACCUUCGGGCCUCAUGCCAUCAGAUGUGCCCAGAUGGGAUUAGCUAGUAGGUGGGGUAACGGCUCACCUAGGCGACGAUCCCUAGCUGGUCUGAGAGGAUGACCAGCCACACUGGAACUGAGACACGGUCCAGACUCCUACGGGAGGCAGCAGUGGGGAAUAUUGCACAAUGGGCGCAAGCCUGAUGCAGCCAUGCCGCGUGUGUGAAGAAGGCCUUCGGGUUGUAAAGCACUUUCAGCGGGGAGGAAGGCGUUAAGGUUAAUAACCUUGGCGAUUGACGUUACCCGCAGAAGAAGCACCGGCUAACUCCGUGCCAGCAGCCGCGGUAAUACGGAGGGUGCAAGCGUUAAUCGGAAUUACUGGGCGUAAAGCGCACGCAGGCGGUCUGUCAAGUCGGAUGUGAAAUCCCCGGGCUCAACCUGGGAACUGCAUUCGAAACUGGCAGGCUAGAGUCUUGUAGAGGGGGGUAGAAUUCCAGGUGUAGCGGUGAAAUGCGUAGAGAUCUGGAGGAAUACCGGUGGCGAAGGCGGCCCCCUGGACAAAGACUGACGCUCAGGUGCGAAAGCGUGGGGAGCAAACAGGAUUAGAUACCCUGGUAGUCCACGCCGUAAACGAUGGCGAUUUGGAGGUUGUGCCCUUGAGGCGUGGCUUCCGGAGCUAACGCGUUAAAUCGACCGCCUGGGGAGUACGGCCGCAAGGUUAAAACUCAAAUGAAUUGACGGGGGCCCGCACAAGCGGUGGAGCAUGUGGUUUAAUUCGAUGCAACGCGAAGAACCUUACCUGGUCUUGACAUCCACAGAACUUUCCAGAGAUGGAUUGGUGCCUUCGGGAACUGUGAGACAGGUGCUGCAUGGCUGUCGUCAGCUCGUGUUGUGAAAUGUUGGGGUAAGUCCCGCAACGAGCGCAACCCUUAUCCUUUGUUGCCAGCGGUUCGGCCGGGAACUCAAAGGAGACUGCCAGUGAUAAACUGGAGGAAGGUGGGGAUGACGUCAAGUCAUCAUGGCCCUUACGACCAGGGCUACACACGUGCUACAAUGGCAUAUACAAAGAGAAGCGACCUCGCGAGAGCAAGCGGACCUCAUAAAGUAUGUCGUAGUCCGGAUUGGAGUCUGCAACUCGACUCCAUGAAGUCGGAAUCGCUAGUAAUCGUAGAUCAGAAUGCUACGGUGAAUACGUUCCCGGGCCUUGUACACACCGCCCGUCACACCAUGGGAGUGGGUUGCAAAAGAAGUAGGUAGCUUAACCUUCGGGAGGGCGCUUACCACUUUGUGAUUCAUGACUGGGGUGAAGUCGUAACAAGGUAACCGUAGGGGAACCUGCGGUUGGAUCACCUCCUUACCUUAAAGAA
rnacentral:rRNA from 1 species